GGUGUUCGGCCUCGAGUUUAUAAUCUUUAUGGAUGGAUUCUUGGUUUUAUUGGAGAUUACAAAUAUGAUGUUAAUAUUGCCAUCACCCCAGGAUUCAAAUUAAAUCUGUGUAAUCGUACAUAUGAACCACCAAGGCAAGGUCCUUCCUUGUGGGAGAUAGGAAUUCCUGAUCGUUCUGCAGAGGAAUUUUUUGUGCAUGAUCGUGACCCAAAAUACAAAUAAACUUUUUCUCAGUAAUCCAAACAGCAAUGAUAGAGAUUCAGUACAUGUUCCUGUGGAUAUAUAAAUUUAGACAUUAUGGGCUGUGGGAGAGAGGUAUGCAGAAUUGCAUACUUGUGAAGACCUUGUGUAUACUGUUGGUACUAGUGACUACA